UCUCCGUAGGUGAACCUGCGGAGGGAUCAUUACACAAAUAUGAAGGCGGGCUGGAACCUCUCGGGGUUACAGCCUUGCUGAAUUAUUCACCCUUGUCUUUUGCGUACUUCUUGUUUCCUUGGUGGGUUCGCCCACCACUAGGACAAACAUAAACCUUUUGUAAUUGCAAUCAGCGUCAGUAACAAAUUAAUAAUUACAACUUUCAACAACGGAUCUCUUGGUUCUGGCAUCGAUGAAGAACGCAGC
rnacentral:misc_RNA from 1 species